UCUUAUGGCCGUACCACCCUGAAAGUACCUGAUCUCAGAAACUAAGCAGGGGUAAGGCCUAGUUAGAACUUCCACAGAAGGAAGCUCAAUCUCUUAUAUGUUCCAUAAAGU
rnacentral:rRNA from 1 species